rnacentral:RNase_P_RNA from 1 species
GAAGCGGGUCAGGCAAUCGCCGGCCGUCUCCACCGGAGGCGGCGGGAGGAAAGUCCGGGCUCCACAGGGCAGGGCGCCGGGUAACACCCGGCGGGGGCAACCCCAGGGAAAGUGCCACAGAGAGCAGACCGCCGGACGGUGCCUUUGUCUCAAAGGUUUCCGGCAAGGGUGAAAGGGUGCGGUAAGAGCGCACCGCGCUUCCCGGUAACGGGGGCGGCACGGAAAACCCCGCCUGGAGCAAGGCCGAAUAGGGGGAUGCCAAGGGCGGCUCGCCCGAAUCCCCGGGUUGGCUGCUGGAGGUGGUCGGUAACGGCCAUCCUAGAGGAAUGAUUGCCCAUCCCCACCGCAGACCGGGAGGUUGUGGGGUGGACAGAACCCGGCUUACAGACCCGCUUCGCCU